GAAAUAAGCAACUGUAACUAAGAUAAAUAUUGUUUAUAUCCAAAUAGCAAAUCACACAUAACAAGAUCCAAAAUAUUCUACUUGUAAAGACAAUGAGCUGAAACUACACAAAAUGACCAAUUAACAGAACUACAAGCAGAAAUAAACCUAAAAAGGAAGUUUGCCUGAAAAUAGUUUACUCUUUCUAGAUAUCAAUCCCAGAAGCAUUCAUAGCUUCAUCCAUCAGCUUCCCUUGCUCAGCAAUUAGAUUCACCCUCCUCAAGCACAAGCGAGACUCAGCUUCCUUCAAAGAUGUCGACUUUUUCUUAAUCUCAUUCAAUUUCUCAAUGCUAAGCAACCCAGAAUACUCUUCAAGCCACUUCUCCAGAGCAGCAACACUUCCCCCACACGAAAUCAAAUUCAAAUUAGGUGUAACCUCCACGGUCUUCUCCAUCUCCGCACUCAGUUUCUCCUCCUUCACUACAUCCAAAACCCCAUUAUCUUCACCUACACUGUUGUUUCGUCCCUUACUUGCAGUUUCAUUCUCCACUUGAACAACUUCAAGUGGAACUUUGUCAGUUUUCUCUUUACCCCAAACCUUUUGAGACAAUUCAUAGGCUUUUUGCUCGUGGGGCUUGGAGAAAGUCCUUUCCUUUCCCUUCUUCUCUUUCCCAGCAUUGUUUUCAUACUUCUUCUUCAAUCUUCUUAUCUUGUCUUGCAACUGGGCCUUAGACACAUCUACGUGCAAAGACUUUUUGAUGAAAUCAUGAAAUGCACUCAAAUCCGCAACUGGGUCGGCUUUUUUCUUCGACCUGUAAUCAGUCAUGCCCUUCAGGAUAGCAAUUUCGUCAUCUUCACUCCACAAUCUCUGAAACAGCUGCCUUUUAACGUCAUCAGUGGGCGUUUUCGCCACUGGAGUUUCAAUCUGUUUCUCUGAUUUCUUCUUAGACCUCUUCGAUUCCUUAGCUUCACCGUCAUCCACCGGGCGUUUAGUUCCGACAACAGCAGUGGACUUCUUCGGAGAAGUGAGUUUUGAAGUAGCAUCUGCUUUGGAUUUAGGUUUCUUCUCAACGAUAGGCGCAGCUUUUUUCGGCUCAUCCAUGGGUUUGGAAGCUAUGGGUUUAACAACCGGGUUUGCUUUCUGUGUUUCAGGAUCCGGUUCGGACUCGGAAUCAGAUUCUUCUUCGGUAGAAGAAGAGGAAUCAUCCUGAGGUUGUGGCUUCUUUGGAGCGGCAACUGGUGGUUUUUUCGGGGGUUGCUCUUGUUCAGGUUCGGAUUCCGAUUCUGAUUCCGAUCCCGAUUCAGUAUCAGCGUUUCCCGGCGAAGAAACUUCCAUCUCCUCGCCGGAUUCUUCUUCUUCUUCUUUCUCGGGACGACUCUUGGCCAUUGGAGAGUGUAAGCGAUUAGGGCAAAAGAGUGUAGCUG
rnacentral:misc_RNA from 1 species